rnacentral:snoRNA from 1 species
GGGACUCUGUGAUGUCCAGCACUGGGCUCUUACCACCCCUGAGGACAUGGUGCUCCCCGGGCCUUUGACACCCAGGGUUCUGAGGGGCCC